rnacentral:rRNA from 1 species
GACGAACCGUGCGAACGUUGUUCGGAAUUACUGGGCGUAAAGAGUGUGUAGGCGGUGCUCUAAGUUCGGUGUGAAAUCUCCUGGCUCAACUGGGAGGGUGCGCCGGAAACUGGAGUGCUUGAGCGUGGGAGAGGAAAGCGGAAUUCCUGGUGUAGCGGUGAAAUGCGUAGAUAUCAGGAGGAACACCUGUGGUGUAGACGGCUUUCUGGACCAUAGCUGACGCUGAGACACGAAAGCGUGGGUAGCAAACAGG